rnacentral:rRNA from 1 species
UACGGAGGGUGCAAGCGUUAUCCGGAUUCACUGGGUUUAAAGGGUGCGUAGGUGGGUAAGUAAGUCAGUGGUGAAAUCUCCGGGCUUAACCCGGAAACUGCCAUUGAUACUAUUUGUCUUGAAUACUGUGGAGGUCAGCGGAAUAUGUCAUGUAGCGGUGAAAUGCUUAGAUAUGACAUAGAACACCAAUUGCGAAGGCAGCUGGCUACACAAAUAUUGACACUGAGGCACGAAAGCGUGGGAUCAAACAGG